rnacentral:miRNA from 14 species
UUUUCCUCUUCCUCUUCCUCUUCCUCUUCUUCAUCUUCUCCUGUACUUUACCUUCAUUGAGUAGUGUUGGUGGAGUGUUGAUGUUUUCAGUGCUAGUGAUGCGGUGUUGGUAUGGUGUAGUGUUGGUGGUGAUAUUGGUGUUGGUGUGUUGUUGUUGUUGAUGGUGUUAGUAGUGGUGUGGUGGUGGUGGUUGUGGUGUUGGUGUUAUGGUGUUGUUGGUGAUGGUGUUGGUAGUGGUGUUGAAGUUGGUAUAGUGGUGGUUAUG